AUUUGUGUAGCGAAUCUAUUUGCGUGAUCGACUCCGGGCCUGUGGGACCGUUCACUUGCCCUUGAUGCUGAGUCUUUUACAUGUAUCCAUAAACUGCAGAUAUGCACAUCAGAUCCCUGCGAACAUUUUCAAAAUUCAAUUAUUUUAGACAACAGGCACAUAUGCAAUACUGACAUAAUCUGAAAUACCGCUAAGCAGCUGGGACACAUUUUUGUUGACCGUACUCGCAGGUAAAAUAAGUAGAUCAUGUGGGCAGCUCCAGCUCAUUUUCCUUAAAUCAGUGUGUACAAGGGGUGUGCAAAAAUAUUCUUUUUCUCGCGCACCGAUUAUUUUGCUGUAUAAGCAAGAGAACCCACCACGUUAGUGUAACGUAUCUUGUACAUCCCACUAAUAUGUGCUUUAAUUUACCAAGUGAGAUGAGUUACUUUUAUGGCUCAUUCAGUCAUAUCACACUGCAAGCUGCAUUGAUCAAUCUUCAAUUGGAUUUUGCAAAUCUUUAAUGAAAGAUGUUUCCCUUUUAUGCAGAUAUGCAAUGGCAAGCCCUUCCAUGUGUUCCAAAGACAAUGCCUACGCCUAGCCACAGCAGCUCCCUCAUACAGGCUCCGCAAGCAAAGAGACCGUGGAGGCAAAUGCAGGUAAGAGGAAAUAAGCAAUAGCACUGGUAUCGACAUUCAUCUAAUUUCUUUUUAUUUCGUUUAGGCAGCCAGCACACCUCGAACAGCCACCUUAACUGCGGGUGUGUCACCCUAGUCGCCAAGGAAACAUUUGAGGGAAAGUGACAGGCAAUGUGAACAGCCACUUCUCCAUGUAAACAAUACUCUUUCUCUCGGAUGACUCCUACGCCUCGCCAUUUCAGCCCACUUGUGCACAAAGAUGCCGCAGAAGCACGUGCAGGUCAGAGGCAAGAAGCAGUGGCACUGGUGUCGACAUUUACCCAAUUUCUUUUUCUUACACUGAGGCAGCCAGCACACCUCGAACAGCCACCUUGACUGCGGGUGUGUCAGUAGAUUCCUGUUGUACAUAUGCUCAUAAUAAACUUCAGCAAACUUGAACUUCAUAAUAAACUUGAAGGCAAAUCGGA
rnacentral:lncRNA from 1 species